CAACCGCAAAACAAGCAGAGGGGGCUUAGUGGUGGGGUGACUGCGUACCUUUUGUAUAAUGGGUCAGCGACUUAUAUUCUGUAGCAAGGUUAACCGAAUAGGGGAGCCGUAGGGAAACCGAGUCUUAACCGGGCGUUAAGUUGCAGGGUAUAGACCCGAAACCCGGUGAUCUAGCCAUGGGCAGGUUGAAGGUUGGGUAACACUAACUGGAGGACCGAACCGACUAAUGUUGAAAAAUUAGCGGAUGACCUGUGGCUGGGGGUGAAAGGCCAAUCAAACCGGGAGAUAGCUGGUUCUCCCCGAAAGCUAUUUAGGUAGCGCCUCGUGAAUUCAUCUCCGGGGGUAGAGCACUGUUUCGGCUAGGGGGCCAUCCCGGCUUACCAACCCGAUGCAAACUGCGAAUACCGGAGAAUGUUAUCACGGGAGACACACGGCGGGUGCUAACGUCCGUCGUGAAGAGGGAAACAACCCAGACCGCCAGCUAAGGUCCCAAAGUCAUGGUUAAGUGGGAAACGAUGUGGGAAGGCCCAGACAGCCAGGAUGUUGGCUUAGAAGCAGCCAUCAUUUAAAGAAAGCGUAAUAGCUCACUGGUCGAGUCGGCCUGCGCGGAAGAUGUAACGGGGCUAAACCAU
rnacentral:rRNA from 1 species